rnacentral:rRNA from 1 species
GAUGAACGCUGGCGGCGUGCCUAAUACAUGCAAGUCGAGCGAAUGGAUUAAGAGCUUGCUCUUAUGAAGUUAGCGGCGGACGGGUGAGUAACACGUGGGUAACCUGCCCAUAAGACUGGGAUAACUCCGGGAAACCGGGGCUAAUACCGGAUAACAUUUUGAACCGCAUGGUUCGAAAUUGAAAGGCGGCUUCGGCUGUCACUUAUGGAUGGACCCGCGUCGCAUUAGCUAGUUGGUGAGGUAACGGCUCACCAAGGAAACGAUGCGUAGCCGACCUGAGAGAGUGAUCGGCCACACUGGGACUGAGACACGGCCCAGACGCCUACGGGAGGCAGCAGUAGGGAAUCUGCCGCAAUGGACGAAAGUCUGACGGAGCAACGCCGCGUGAGUGAUGAAGGCUUUCGGGUCGUAAAACUCUGUUGUUAGGGAAGAACAAGUGCUAGUUGAAUAAGCUGGCACCUUGACGGUACCUAACCAGAAAGCCACGGCUAACUACGUGCCAGCCGCCGCGGUAA